rnacentral:lncRNA from 1 species
UUCAAGCCUGCAGAAGAAGUAAAGGAAUUAAAGUUAGAAUCCCAAAGGUCGCCGGGAUGAUGUUAACUAUGUAUGUGUGCAGGGGAGAAACUAGAAUUUUUUAAAAAAAAAAACUAAAAUUAAAUUGUAAUUUUUUUAUAGUAAAAAUGUAAUUUUUAAAGGAUUAAAUCAAAAUUUUAUUAUUUUAAAGAGAUUAUAGUGUAAUUUUAUCUUUACUAAAUUAAAAUUUUAAAAAAAUUAAAGAUCAAAAUAGAAAAUUUUACAUUUUAGGUGCAGCACCCCUAGGUUAGCCCCAGCAUGCAUGUAACAAUUUUUUUUUCAUUUUCAACAUUUAUUGUAGGAAAAGUUUGACAAUUUCUUUUUAGAAAUUAAUUAUAAGUUUUGACUAUUGAGCGGUUGAAAUGUAUGGUAGUGGCCCAUUAACUUGCAAUCGGUAUCAAAGGAAAAGAGAUUAGAAACUCACUUAUAAUUGAGGAGAAAAUGGUGCAGGAAAAUGGAGACCUCAAGUUUGCCUAGGUCAGAUCCAGGGCAGAUUCUACUUCCUCCUCCAAAGGGAAUGAAAUUCUUUCCUUUCAAUCCAGGGUUCUGCAUUCAGGUCAAACCGACAGUACUUAAUUAACAUAAUUUGUGUGCCUUUCAUUCCUUUAUCAGUUUAGUAUUUUUUUUUUAAAUUAUUAUUAUUGUUGAUUCUACUGACCUCCCAUCUUGAAGGAAGGAACUCUUUUGGGUUUGUAUAAAUAUCUGGAUCCAUAUGAACAGCUCUACUCCAAACUAAAACAUUCCAUCCUUUUGGUAUGGUAUAACCUGAAAAAUAAAAACUUUAGUUUUUAAGAAAAAUUGUUUUUUUUUUUUCGAGUAAAAUGAAGAACCAAAGUCUAGAAACUAACCGUUAAGGUUAACAUCAGUUUCCACCCUUCGAAAAAGUGUGAAAGCAAAAUUGGCUCUUCGCAUUGACUCAUCAAUCACCUUCAAAUAAAUCAAAAACAACAGGGUUUGUUAGAUAUUACUACAUAUUUUUGAUAAUCUAAGUUGAAUAAAAUAACAAACCUUUGGUAGAUAUUCCAUUUGCUUGAUUUCAGCAAGGGUCAAGCCUUUUUGGGAAGAUGGCCUUCUCUUUAAGACCGCCUGUUGUUCUUCCUGAAAGGUUGAAAUCCAAAUUCAGUCGGCGAAUUACAUGAAAAAUACAUUUCCCUAGAUACUAUUGCUGGACACUCAAUCGGGUAACCAACGGCAACCAAUAUUAUAAUCUGACCUUGGCUUUUUGCAGCAUUUCUGGAUGGUGAUGGAGGUAGAUGGUCGCCCACAUUGCAGUGUGUGCUGCGGUUUCAUGUCCCGCAAACAAGAAUAUCAGCAAUAAAUCAAAGAGAUGUUCAUCGUCCAAUUUUUCACCAUUGUCGUAUUCAGCUUCCAUG